CCACCACAUCUACGCACAAGCGUACAGCAUUCCGUAGAAAGAUUGCUUCCUUCAGCACACGUGCUCUUCGGCUCUUGCUCGCCCCUCCGCCUUUUCGUGUGGGGUUGCCGAGCUGUGUCUCGUCAUCGCCUGCUCCCUGCGCUUCAGGUGCCGAGUCGAGUGUCUCUGACGGCGCUUCGAGACAGAAACGCACUUCUUCAUCUAGCAAUACCCAAAACGAGAAGCGCUUCAGCAUAAUGACGGAGGGCCGCCUGGAGACCAUUCACAACCUCCGUCCCAAGAACUGGGACAACCGGCGGCACUGGACCAACUGGCAUCACCUCUACGACUGCGAACAGGAUCACAUCACCCGCGAGAGUGCCCCAUUCCACGACCUCCGUGCCGGCGGUCAAUUUCAAUAUGAGUACGCAGGCGGCGGUCCGUACGCGGCGCCUAUUGAACCGCAACACGUCAACGACCGCAGCGCCGGUGACCGCAUGGAUUUUGCGCUGGGGCGAGGAACAGACAUGGGCGGCAUGGGGCACCUGCCGCUCGACACAGAUCCUGGCCGUCCUGUGAAGCCGAACAAUGUGCCUCGCCAGACGGCCAUGUUCACCCGCAAAGACCCUCUGAAGCGCGGCCUCUUCUCCGAGUACCCGUACAUGCCGGAAGGUGACGGCGAUGGCACGGGGCCGUCACCGCGGACGGGUUUCAUGAAGACUGGCGGGCUCUGCGACUACCUUGGCGGCGCUGCCGAGCACAUUCCUGACCCGUACAACGACAAGCCGAACCGCGGCCGCAUUUGGCACUUCCGCACUGGCCCCGUGAAGCACGACUACCCCGAGUGGAUGCCGCAGGGGGAGCCGGAGAGAAAGCCGCGCAAGACCUAUGGCCCUUUCCGCGCUGGUAAGCCGGAUCACCUGCACAUCGGCGGUGACGUGGAGUGGAUUCCUGACCCGUACGACAAGGGACCGAUUCGAAACCACCGACACCCGUUCCGCACGUGGCACACGCGCACCAAGUGGUCCAUGCCAGUGCACGCACCGUGGUCGACUGGCUUGGCAACGUCGGAGGCGCGCAAGGGUGCCGGGCUGGACCUGACAGAGAAAAGCCUGCCGUCCCUUAAGACGUACCGCAGGGCAAACCUCACGCAGACGAUCGGCGCGGAAGCGGCGCUUUCGUCGAUGCCAUCGCGGAUGUGAGAUGACGGGACGAAGCCAGUGCAUAACAGAAGGGAAAGGGCGAGGGGGAGGGACAUGGACAGGUUAGGUGAUUUGCUCGUGGGAGUUGGCCGACGUGGGAGGUUUAUGCAGAUGCACUGUCUUGCGGGACACUGAUUCAAACCGGCGCCCCCUCCUUUCCCUCUCCUCGGGAGGCGGAUCGCGCCACGCCACGGGUGCUCGCGCGUGGGUGUUUGUGCUCGCACUCGUUCCUUGUGUUUGCCUCUUUUCCCUUGUGCUGCUGCUGUUUUGGGUCUUCCUCGAUGUUUCCCUCGAGUCUGGCAGCCGACGCGCCCACAGACACACCCAAAACACAAGCACGCGCGAAUGCGCAGUGCUGAUGUCCAUCGUACCCCACUCUGUAUGGUGUAGACGUCUGCCUGCCUGUGCGCUGGUGUUCGAGGGGGGUUGUGUGUGUGUGUGUGCGUGUUCUCGUUUCUCCCUCUAUCCAUCUUUUCACAUGUAUCAUAGUUCUCUCUGUGUUUUCUGUCGGUUCUGCUGCGCUCCUUGUACUGUCAGCUUCUGCUGCUGUGGCGCUCAUGUGUUUUUCGGCCUUUGCCAGCGCCUCCCUCCCCGUUUCCCUGGUGACGAUGGCGCCAUCGUUGUGUACCUGCGCUGCUUAGCCUGCGGCGGCGUGAACGAAUAG
rnacentral:misc_RNA from 1 species